CCUACGGGUGGCAGCAGUAGGGAAUCUUCCACAAUGGGCGAAAGCCUGAUGGAGCAACGCCGCGUGGGUGAAGAAGGUCUUCGGAUUGUAAAACCCUGUUGUUAGAGAAGUAAGUUCGUGUGAGUAACCGUUCACGUCUCGACGGUAUCUAUCCAGAAAGCCUCGCCUAAAUACGUGCCAGCAGCCGCGGCAAUACGUCGGUGGCAAGCGCUAUCCGGUUUUAUUGGGCGUAAAGGUAGCGCAGGCGGUCUUUUAAGUCUGAUGUGAAAGCCUGCGGCUUAACCGGAGAAGUGCAUUGGAAACUGGGAGACUAGAGUGCAGGAGAGGGGAGUGGAACUCCAUGUGUAGCGGUGAAAUGCGUAGAUAUAUGGAAGAACACCAGUGGCGAAGGCGGCUCACUGGACUGUAACUGACGCUGAGGUUCGAAAGCGUGGGUAGCAAACAGGAUUAGAUACCCUAGUAGUC
rnacentral:rRNA from 1 species